GGGUUGGUGGAAGGCUGGUUAAACAGUUUGGUUUUCGACCACUACGACCCGGGUUCGAUUCCCGCAUUGGACA